GCUUGGUGUUCAAUUAAUUUAAACAACAGACCGCCAAAAUUCAACAACCUUGGCUGCCAUAUUGUAUAGUUUGGAGAGAAGGCAAGAGAAUGUUUUGAAGAGGGGGAUUACCGUCACCAAUAAGACUGAGACUGGAUUGUUAUAUCUAACAAAAGAUGCAGAUAUUUUAUAUACAGUAGAAGGAGAAGAUAUAGGUGGAUCUAGUGAUUUUCUUGGACCUGAUUCGGUCUUAAAAACGGGGCCUAUAUAUGAGGAUUUGCCAAUUGACCAAGAGCAGCCGGCAAACAUUAAACAUGCAGUGACAUUACAAGUAACGAAGAAGUGGAGAAAAUUUUUCAUUGGACAGAUGGAUGUGAAGGAAGCCCCUGGAUAUUACUUGAAUUGCGAGAAAUGAAUCAGGUGUGA